GAUGAACGCUGGCGGCGUGCCUAAUACAUGCAAGUCGAGCGAACGGACGAGAAGCUUGCUUCUCUGAUGUUAGCGGCGGACGGGUGAGUAACACGUGGAUAACCUACCUAUAAGACUGGGAUAACUUCGGGAAACCGGAGCUAAUACCGGAUAAUAUUUUGAACCGCAUGAUUCAAAAGUGAAAGACGGUCUUGCUGUCACUUAUAGAUGGAUCCGCGCUGCAUUAGCUAUUUGGUAAGGUAACGGCUUACCAAGGCAACGAUGCAUAGCCGACCUGAGAGGGUGAUCGGCCACACUGGAACUGAGACACGGUCCAGACUCCUAAGGGAGGCAGCAGUAGGGAAUCUUCCGCAAUGGGCGAAAGCCUGACGGAGCAACGCCGCGUGAGUGAUGAAGGUCUUCGGAUCGUAAAAAUCUGUUAUUAGGGAAGAACAUAUGUGUAAGUAACUGUGCACAUCUUGACGGUACCUAAUCAGAAAGCCACGGCUAACUACGUG
rnacentral:rRNA from 1 species